GACCGCGUAGCUCAGUUGGAAGAGCAUUGGGCUAGUAUUCCAAAGGUCGUAGGUUCGAAUCCCACCGUGGCCG